rnacentral:rRNA from 1 species
UACGGGGGGUGCAAGCGUUGUUCGGAAUUACUGGGCGUAAAGGGCUCGUAGGUGGCUAACUAAGUCAGACGUGAAAUCCCUCGGCUUAACCGGGGAACUGCGUCUGAUACUGGAUGGCUUGAGUUCGGGAGAGGGAUGCGGAAUUCCAGGUGUAGCGGUGAAAUGCGUAGAUAUCUGGAGGAACACCGGUGGCGAAGGCGGCAUCCUGGACCGACACUGACGCUGAGGAGCGAAAGCCAGGGGAGCAAACGGG